AGUUUGAUCCUGGCUCAGGAUGAACGCUGGCGGCGUGCUUAACACAUGCAAGUCGAACGAUUAAACCGCCCUCGGGCGGACAUAGAGUGGCGAACGGGUGAGUAACACGUGACCAACCUGCCCCGCGCUCCGGGACAACCGCUGGAAACGGCGGCUAAUACCGGAUACUCCGGGAGGGCCCCAUGGCCCUGCCGGGAAAGCCGAGACGGCGCGGGAUGGGGUCGCGGCCCAUUAGGUAGACGGCGGGGUAACGGCCCACCGUGCCCGCGAUGGGUAGCCGGACUGAGAGGUCGACCGGCCACAUUGGGACUGAGAUACGGCCCAGACUCCUACGGGAGGUAGCAGUGGGGAAUUUUGCGCAAUGGGGGAAACCCUGACGCAGCAACGCCCCGUGCGGGACGAAGGCCCUCGGGUUGUAAACCGCUUUCAGCAGGGAAGAUCAAGACGGUACCUGCAGAAGAAGCUCCGGCUAACUACGUGCCAGCAGCCGCGGUAAUACGUAGGGGGCGAGCGUUAUCCGGAUUCAUUGGGCGUAAAGCGCGCGUAGGCGGCCGCCUAAGCGGGACCUCUAACCCCGGGGCUCAACCCCGGGCCGGGUCCCGGACUGGGCGGCUCGAGUGCGGUAGAGGAGAGCGGAAUUCCCGGUGUAGCGGUGGAAUGCGCAGAUAUCGGGAAGAACACCGAUGGCGAAGGCAGCUCUCUGGGCCGUCACUGACGCUGAGGCGCGAAAGCUGGGGGAGCGAACAGGAUUAGAUACCCUGGUAGUCCCAGCCGUAAACGAUGGAUACUAGGUGUGGGGGGAUCCCCCCUCCGUGCCGCAGCCAACGCAUUAAGUAUCCCGCCUGGGGAGUACGGCCGCAAGGCUAAAACUCAAAGGAAUUGACGGGGGCCCGCACAAGCAGCGGAGCAUGUGGCUUAAUUCGAAGCAACGCGAAGAACCUUACCAGGGCUUGACAUGCGCCUGAAGCCGCGGAGACGCGGUGGCCGAGAGGAGGGCGCGCAGGUGGUGCAUGGCUGUCGUCAGCUCGUGUCGUGAGAUGUUGGGUUAAGUCCCGCAACGAGCGCAACCCCCGUCCCGUGUUGCCAGCAUUAGGUUGGGGACUCGCGGGAGACUGCCGGCGUCAAGCCGGAGGAAGGUGGGGACGACGUCAAGUCAUCAUGCCCCUUAUGCCCUGGGCUGCACACGUGCUACAAUGGCCGGUACAGAGGGUUGCCACCCCGCGAGGGGGAGCGGAUCCCGGAAAGCCGGCCCCAGUUCGGAUCGCAGGCUGCAACCCGCCUGCGUGAAGCCGGAGUUGCUAGUAAUCGCGGAUCAGCACGCCGCGGUGAAUACGUUCCCGGGCCUUGCACUCACCGCCCGUCA
rnacentral:rRNA from 1 species